GUGCUCGCUUUGGGAGCACAUGUACUAGAAUUGGAUACAGAGAAGAUUAGCAUGGCCCAUGAGCAAGGAUUGGACAUAGGAAACUUCAAUACUUCAUU
ensembl:snRNA U6 U6 spliceosomal RNA